GCCUGGGUGGCUCAGUCGGUUAAGCUUCUGACUCCAGCUCAGGUCAUGAUCUCACAGUUUGUGGGUUCGAGCCCCGCAUCGGGCU
rfam:Felis catus isolate Cinnamon breed Abyssinian chromosome B1, whole genome shotgun sequence.